AAACAUUCUGGAAGGGUGGGCAGGGCAGCUUAUAAUGCCCAGAACAAUGGCUCUGAAGUAAGCUGUGAUGGCUGCAGAUAGGCUGUAAACCUAGAGAAUACAUGGUCCUGUUCUGAGUCUCCUGUGUGCUGACUCUCAGACCUUGGGAAAGUUACUCAACCUCUUGCCUCCCUUUCUUCAUCUGAAGGAUGGGACUACUAAAGCACCUACCUUAUGGCCAUUAAAUGUUCAAUGAGCUGCCCAUGAGUCGUGAGUCACAUGGGAAGACUAAAGACCUGUGACACACAGUGCCAGGACAGGGACAGGGACAGGGACAAAAUGUUCAUACCUUGGCUCAAUGACUUGGAGGGACCCACAGCUGG
rnacentral:lncRNA from 1 species